AAUGGGCGAAAGCCUGACGCAGCAACGCCGCGUGAGUGAUGAAGGCCUUCGGGUCGUAAAGCUCUGUCAGAAGGGAAGAAAUGGAAGGGUGUUAAUACCAUCUUUUCUUGACGGUACCUUCAAAGGAAGCACCGGCUAACUCCGUGCCAGCAGCCGCGGUAAUACGGAGGGGGCAAGCGUUGUUCGGAGUCACUGGGCGNAAAGCGCACNUAGGUGGAUGNAUAAGUCAGAAGUUAAAGGCCCCGGAUCAACCGGUGUAGGGCUUUUGAAACUAUACGUCUAGAGUGUCGGAGAGGAAUAUGGAAUUCCCGGUGUAGCGGUGAAAUGCGUAGGUAUCGGGAGGAACACCAGUAGCGAAGGCGAUAUUCUGGCCGAUAACUGACACUGAGGUGCGAGAGCAUGGGUAGCAAA
rnacentral:rRNA from 1 species